UACGUAGGGGGCAAGCGUUGUCCGGAAUCAUUGGGCGUAAAGCGCGCGUAGGCGGCUAGAUCAGUCUGCUGUAAAAGUCAAAGGCUCAACCUUUGAAAGCCGGUGGAUACUGCGGAGCUAGAGUACGGAAGAGGCGAGUGGAAUUCCUGGUGUAGCGGUGGAAUGCGCAGAUAUCAGGAGGAACACCAAUAGCGAAGGCAGCUCGCUGGGACGUUACUGACACUGAGGCGCGAAAGCGUGGGGAGCGAACAGG
rnacentral:rRNA from 1 species